rnacentral:tRNA from 1 species
UCCCUGGUGGUCCAGUGGUUAAGACUCUGUGCUUCCACUGCAGGCGGUGUGGGUUUGAUCCCUAGUCAGGGAA